GUACACGCUGUGACUAGCAUAUCAAUAAGCGGAGGAAAAGAAACUAACAAGGAUUCCCCUAGUAACGGCGAGUGAAGCGGGAAGAGCUCAAAUUUGAAAUCUUAAAGGGUUUCCCUUUACGAAUUGUAGUUUAAAGAAGUGUUUUCUGUUGAGGUUUUGGUAAAAGUUCUUUGGAAUAGGACAUCAUAGAGGGUGAGAAUCCCGUAUUUGACCUUUACUUUCAACUUUGUGAUACACUUUCAAAGAGUCGGAUUGUUUGGGAAUGCAGUCCAAAAUGGGUGGUAAAUUUCAUCUAAAGCUAAAUAUUGGCGAGAGACCGAUAGCGAACAAGUACCGUGAGGGAAAGAUGAAAAGAACUUUGAAAAGAGAGUUAAACAGUACGUGAAAUUGUCAAAAGGGAAGCGUUUGACACCAGUGUUGUUUUUCUGAAAAUCAAUUGAAGAACUGUUUAUGCUAAGUUGUUUAGACUUUAUCAGCUAACUGUUUAGUUUUGAGCUUUUCUUUAAUGCACUUUUCAGUUAACAAGUCAACAUCAAUUUCUUUUGCUGUAAAAAAGCUUGAGGAAGGUGGCUUGAGAUUCGUCUUAAGUGUUUAUAGCCUCUUGCCUAUGCAGUCGGAGAGAUUGAGGUCUGCAGCGUAGAUCCUUCGGGGCUAAAUGCAUUUGUGCUAAGUUAUAGCAUUUUAUAGACAACAUGUUGACUAUGAUUCGUCUUGUAGCUUACUCGCUUAUGUUAUUUUACCUACGCUUAGGAUGUUGACAGCAGUAUAGACUG
rnacentral:rRNA from 1 species